UCCUGGUUCAGGCCAGUUAAUUUCGCACAAAGAUGAAUUGCUCCAAGGCCAUCGCACUUCUAGUGCUAGCUGGUCAUUUUAUAAAGAGUUGUUGUUGGUUUCAAUAGCAAAGUACCAUCCAUUUCUAGAAAGAUUACUCAAACUACUAUUGUUCUAUUCAGUCCUAUUCAUUCAGUAAACAAUGAUCUGAACCUAUUAACUAUUUUUCCUCCCGUAUAUCUUGUACUUACUUAUUUUCCAGGUACUUACUAAAUGUUAAUUGCUUUACCUGUAUUGUCUCAUUUAAGUCUUACAACACUGGGAGUAAGGUGCUACUAUUUCCCCAUUUUAUAGAUGAGGUGACCAAAACAUGGAGACCAAGCCUAGUUACAAGCCUGUGCAGUCUGACGCCAGAGCUGGCCCCCUCUUAACCACCAAGUUUGUGAAGGAUUCAGGAAGACCUAAAAGAAGACUCUUUCCCUCCACAUUUUCGAUAAUUAUCAUCAUUUAGAAUCUCCUUUCCUUUUCAGCUAGCAAUUUCAUGUCCAAAGAUUUGUCCUACAGAAAGUCAUCCAGAGAUAUAUAUAGUAUAGAUGGAGUGUAUGUUUAUGUGUAUAUACGAAGUGUAUAUCUGGAAUAUAUAUACACAUUUGCUGCAGCAUAAUAGUGAAAUUUGGAAAUCACUGUCAUUCUCAUCAGCAAGGGAUUGAACAGCACCAAGGAAAAGCCGUGUGAACACACAGCAAGAAGGCAGCCGUCCGCAGUCCUAGAAGAGAGCUCUCACCAGAGCACAACCAUGCUGGCAACCCCAUCCCGGACUCCAGCCUCGAGACUGCGCUUCCCUGGUGGUGCAGUGGUUAAGAAUCCACCUGCCAAUGCAGGGGACACGGGUUCGAGCCCUGGUCCAGGAAGAUCCCACAUGCUGCAGAGCAACUAAGCCCGUGUGCCACAACUACUGAGCCUGCGUGCCACAACUACUGAAGCCCACGCGCGUAGAGCCCAUGCUCCGCAACAAGAGAAGCCACCGCGAUGAGAAGCCCGUGCACUGCAACGAAGAGUAGUCCCCGCUCACCACAGCUAGAGAAAGCCCAAGCACUGCAGUGAAGACCCAAUGCAGCCAAAAAUAAAAUAAAUAAAUUUAUAAAAAGAA